rnacentral:ncRNA from 1 species
ACCCCCGUGAGGAUGCCCCAAUAGCCCCCCACCCGGGGGCGAGGAGCUGGUAUCAGGCACACACGCUGGCCCACGACGCCUUGCUUAGCCACACCCCCAAGGGAACUCAGCAGUGAUAGACAUUAAGCUAUAAGUGAAAGCUUGACUUAGUCAAAGCUAAUUAGGGUCGGUAAAACUCGUGCCAGCCACCGCGGUUAUACGAGAGACCCAAGUUGGUACUUCCCGGCGUAAAGCGUGGCUAAGCGAUAAAAAAAAUUAAAGCCGAACUUUUUCUUCGCCGUCAUACGCAUAUGUAAGAAGGAAGCCCAAUUACGAAGGUAGCUUUAAGAAAUCCUGACUCCACGAAAGCCGCGGCACAAACUGGGAUUAGAUACCCCACUAUGCCCAGCCGUAAACAUUGGCAGGCCCACUACACUCCCUGCCCGCCCGGAUACUACGAGCAUUAGCUUAAAAUCCAAAGGACUUGGCGGUGCUUUAGACCCCCCUAGAGGAGCCUGUUCUAGAACCGAUAAUCCCCGUUCAACCUCACCUUUCCUUGUCCAAUACAGCCUAUAUACCGCCGUCGUCAGCUAACCCUGUGAAGGAUUAACAAUUAGCACAAUCGGCACAGCCAAAAACGUCAGGUCGAGGUGUAGCGCAUGGAAAGGGAAGAAAUGGGCUACAUUCUCUACAAUAGAGCAAACAAAUGAUGUACUGAAAAAAUACUUCUGAAGGUGGAUUUAGCAGUAAGGAGGAAGCAGAGCGUCCCCCUGAAGAUGGCUCUAAAGCGCGCACACACCGCCCGUCACUCUCCCCGAUACAUCACCACUCGUAUAUUAACAAGCCUAGAUAAAAUACUGAGGGGAGGCAAGUCGUAACAUGGUAAGAGUACCGGAAGGUGCCCUUGGCAAAAUAUA